UAAUACGAAGGGUGCAAGCGUUACUCGGAAUUACUGGGCGUAAAGCGUGCGUAGGUGGUUGUUUAAGUCUGUCGUGAAAGCCCUGGGCUCAACCUGGGAAUUGCGAUGGAAACUGGGCGACUAGAGUGUGGCAGAGGGUAGUGGAAUUCCUGGUGUAGCAGUGAAAUGCGUAGAGAUCAGGAGGAACAUCCGUGGCGAAGGCGACUGCCUGGGCCAACACUGACACUGAGGCACGAAAGCGUGGGGAGCAAACAGGAUUAGAUACCCUGGUAGUCCACGCCCUAAACGAUGCGAACUGGAUGUUGGGUGCAAUUUGGCACGCAGUAUCGAAGCUAACGCGUUAAGUUCGCCGCCUGGGGAGUACGGUCGCAAGACUGAAACUCAAAUGAAUUGACGG
rnacentral:rRNA from 1 species